rnacentral:lncRNA from 1 species
AACAUGCCCCAUCGGUGAGUAAUAGUGGUCUCUCUUUUUCAAAUGUUAACAACCAGGAUCCACUACAUUUACAUGGUUCAGAUGUCUUCUCGUCAUCGCACUCCAGUUAUCACCAACAGGUGCAUACUCUUACAUUUUUGCUCUUAUUUGUCUCAUGUUCUUCUGUGUGUCUUUCUCUUUAUAUUUUGGGGGUGCUAUUGAGUACUCUUAUAAUUUUUGCUCUUAUUUGUUUCAUGUUCUUCUAUGUGUCUCUCUUUGGGGUGCUAUUCAGGUGAGAUAUGUAUCACAUGCACUCUGCAUAAAGAGAGAUUGAAGCCCUCCUGUGUUGGAGACUUCCAUUCCUUUAAAAGAAAAAUCUUCUUUUUCCCUUAACUAUUUCUGUUUGGAGGUUUCUUUUAUUUAUUUAUUCUUGUCUGGCUCAGGUGGGGUUUGGGGGAUGGGGGAGUUGAUGUUGGUAUUCCUUUGUUGCCUUUUGUGUUCUUCAAUCUGUGGAGAAGUAUGUGUAUUUUUCUGAGUACAUGUACGAGAGUGGUUAUUCCAAACCAAAAUUUCGAUUUUAUCAGAAGAGCCAUCUUCUUCUGAAGCAUGACUGAGUUGUGAUGUGGAAAAGCUAGAGUUUUGCUAGUGUUAUGCUGAAGUUAUUUCUAUAUUAAAUGUAAUUUGUGGUGCAUGCUAUAAGUUCCGUAUUCAUACAGCUUUAAGUGAUACUUUACUCGCUCUUCACUUUAUUUGAUCAGUCUG